GACGAACGCUGGCGGCGUGCUUAACACAUGCAAGUCGAACGGAAAGGCCCUGCUUGCAGGGUGCUCGAGUGGCGAACGGGUGAGUAACACGUGGGUGAUCUGCCCUGCACUUCGGGAUAAGCUUGGGAAACUGGGUCUAAUACCGGAUAGGACCACAUGGCGCAUGUUGUGUGGUGGAAAACGUUUUAGUGGUGUGGAAU
rnacentral:rRNA from 1 species